rnacentral:rRNA from 1 species
UACGGAGGGUGCGAGCGUUGUCCGGAAUCACUGGGCGUAAAGGGCGCGUAGGCGGCAGGCCAAGCGUGCGGUGAAAGUCCGGGGCUCAACCCCGGAUCUGCCGUGCGGACUGGUUUGCUAGAGCACUGUAGAGGCGAGUGGAAUUCCGGGUGUAGCGGUGGAAUGCGUAGAGAUCCGGAAGAACACCGGUGGCGAAGGCGGUCGACUGGGCCAGUACUGACGCUGAGGCGCGACAGCGUGGGGAGCAAACAGG